UGACUAUAAAUAUUUUGGUAUAUAUUUGUAGAUUUCAAGUUAUUUAUUGACAAGCAUAUAUUUAUAGUAAACACAGUUUUAUAUCAAUUUCACGAGACAGGAACAUCAGAUAUAACUUUCAUGGGUCGCGAUCAAGAGCUAAAUGUGAUUAGUUUUCAGAUGAUGAUGUAACAGGUUCCAAUGUGAAUCUGACAUGCAACAUCUCUUUAUUGGAGGCCACUAAAGACAAAAAUGUUUAAAUUCUGCAUUUUCUGCGUAGUCAGCCUUACUUCUUUGACCUCAUCUGAGAGGUCAUAUCGUUGCCAGGUGGAUACUGAGGUCAAAUUUAUUUUGAACAACAUGACUCCAUUAGCUGUUAGGUAUUAGGAAGGAGGUUGACUGUGUAGUAGGUGUGGGUAGCUGUGAUGCUCUGGGGAGACGCAUAAAGGCAAGAGCAGCUGAUGUUGUGCAGCGGCCUAGAUGUGCGAAACCGUGCAGCUGUGAGGAGAUAAAUGUCCGACUAGUGGUGAACAAAAUGAAGAGGAAUCACAUGGAUCAGUGGAGAAGAGUAGAAAACCAUUUUAGAUAAUUCAAGGGUUUAAUUUUAUCAAUAAAUUUAAACUUUUAUA